AGAGUUUGAUCAUGGCUCAGGACGAACGCUGGCGGCGUGCUUAAUACAUGCAAGUCGAGCGAGGUUACUGCGACAGAUCCCUUCGGGGUGAAGUUGCUUUAACCUAGCGGCGGACGGGUGAGUAACGCGUGGGUAACCUACCCUAAAGUUCGGGAUAACAGCGGGAAACCGCUGCUAAUACCGGAUGCCUUUACCAUGUGGCAUCACAAGGUAAAGAAAGGUAACGCUUUAGGAUGGGCCCGCGUCCCAUUAGCUAGUUGGUGAGGUAACAGCUCACCAAGGCGACGAUGGGUAGCCGGCCUGAGAGGGUGGACGGCCACACUGGGACUGAGACACGGCCCAGACUCCUACGGGAGGCAGCAGUAGGGAAUAUUGCGCAAUGGACGGAAGUCUGACGCAGCGACGCCGCGUGAGCGAUGAAGGCCUUCGGGUCGUAAAGCUCUGUCCUUGGGGAAGAAGGUCUUCGGACUUGACGGUACCCAAGAAGAAAGCCCCGGCUAACUACGUGCCAGCAGCCGCGGUAAU
rnacentral:rRNA from 1 species